CCGCGGGGAGGGAAGACUAAGUCUGUCUCUGCCAGGAAGUCCAGGCCCAGGAAGUUGUAGGGUGGAGUCUUGGUAUUCUCCCAGUAUGGGCGGGACUGGAGGAAGCCACCAACCAACGAAGUACUGGGCUUGUGGGUAUUUGUCUCUCUCCCCGCCCCUGAGAGUCUGGGAAAGGCCGACACGUGGUGCCUUCAGGCUCUGGGGCCUAGGACCUUUGUGGUAGCAGAGUCAGUGCAGAGAACCAGAAAAUACCAGGUUGCUUAUAGAAGGAUGCCAUGUGCUUGCUGGAGGUCUCAGGUGCAACCAAAUUGCUUGCAGCUAGGAGGACCUUGAAGAGAAAUGGAACCAGCCCGCCAAACCAAGAAGGGUUAGCACUUUUGCUAGGAGAGCUGACCACGCACAAACAGAUGAGAACCAAAAUCGAGUGAAGAGGAUUGAAGAUGAACCCACAUUUUAAAAGUUCUUAUCUGCUGGAGGUGGCAUUACCUGCGACUUCGCUUCACUUCUCCAUACAUGGCUGUUAUAGCAGCCCUAGGUCCCUAAGGAAUUUCCCACUGAAGCAGAUAACUUGGGAAAAUGUUGGGGAUCAAGGUUGAAUGAAGAAGAGCAGACCUACAAAGCUAAGAAAAUCCAGCUUUCUGAAGCACAUUUAAUGACAUAUGAUGAGACUUAUGUGAUGUGAGACCUGAGAAAACUAUGAUAGAAAGAAGCAACUCAAGCUGCAAGGAUAUUCCUCAUGUAUCAUGCAAGGAUAUUCCUCAUGUAUCAUGUUGCUCUGCUCCUGGGUCCAAGCUAUUCUCCUGCCUCAACCUCCCAAGAAGCUGAAACUACAGGAACACGCAACUACCUGGCUUGCAAAUACCACUGCUAAUAAGAAGAUAUUGUAAAUCUGAUACCUAAGAGAUAAGAGGGUCUCACCCUGUCAUCCAGGCUGGAGUGCAGUGGCA